AUGGAGAAGGACAGCGUUGGUGGACACGCGCGGAGGGCGACGGUGAGCGCGGCGGGAGGGAGGGAGAUGGACUCGCCACGGUUCCGGGCGAUCCUGCGGGCGACGAGCGGACGGCGGAAGCGGGCGCCGGACGUCAAGAGCUUCUCGCACGAGCUCAACCCGGGGGGCGCGGCGGCGCACCAGCACCACCUGGCCGCGCGGAACAGGCCGCGUGGCGAAGACGAGUUCAUCGGCGCCGUAAAGAGCAAGUUCAUCAGGCUCAAGGAGGAGGUGGACUGCGAGCUCGGCGUCUUCGCGGGGGACCUCGUUGGCCUCCUUGAGAGGGCCACGGCCGACGAGGAGGACCAACAGUAUUGGCGCGUCACGCUCGAGGACCUGCUCGUCGUCACGCAGAAGUGCGCCGAGAUGAGCCCUGAGGAGUUCUGGGUCAAGUGCGAGGGCAUCGUCCAGGCCCUCGACGACCGCCGCCAGGAGCUCACCACGGCAGGGGGGGCGCUCAAGCAGGCGCACACGCGCAUCCUCUUCAUCCUCACCCGCUGCACGCGGCUCCUGCAGUUCCGCAAGGAGCUCAGCGGCUACUGCGGCGACGCCGACGGCAAGCACCAGCACGUGCUUGGCCUGCACCAGCUCAGUGACCUGGGCCUCUACCCAUUGCAGUCCACCAACGGCGGCUCGACGGACCUAGGCCGCAGGAGCACCUCCAGCUUGACCGAGCUUAAGGAGAGGCUCAUAAGGAGGAGGAUGCUGGAGCACAAGCACCUUACCCUCGACUUCGCGGGGCGGCACUUCUUGGGAGAUGCCGGUGAUUCUCCCGGCAGCGGCAGCAGUGGCAAGAUAUCGUCUUGGAAGAAGCUGCCGUCUCCUGCUCGCCAUAAGAACUCGGAGGCAAAGGAGGACAAGAUCACCCCAACAAAGAAGGCAAUAACCAGGAACAAGGUCGACGUGGAUGAGAUUGUUGAGAGGAUUGACGCAGCUAGCAUUCAUCCGGACGGCCUGGCUUCUCUUGGGGACUCAGCAGUCAAGAUCGAGAUUUCACCAGAGUACCCAGGGGCCCAACAAAUAAUCGUCGAUGGAAAGCCAAGGAUGAUAUGCAGGAUCUGCGAUUUUGAGAUCCCGAUGUCUUGUGCGGAAGGCCAUUUCAUAGCAUGCACGCUUGCUGAUCGGUGUGAUUCCAAGGGCUUGAGUACUGACAAGCGGCUACAAAGGGUUGCCGAGGUGCUUGAGAGGGUGCUUGCUUGCUUUGACGCAAAGAGCCCACAUAAUGCGGAAUUUCAUCAUCCUGAGAACACAAGAGCUAGCACAUCGAGUUUAACAGAAGAAUCUGAUGGAUCAAUGGAUCAUGAUAACGAUUUGUCUCAUCUGUUGACAGUGCCAUCAUCAGAACUGUUUUCAGAAGGAGCACUGACACAUGCAUCAGGAAACUUGUCGCAGUCACCAUUAUUGACACCAAGAACUAGCCACGAAGAAUCACAGCUGACUAAACACAAGGCAUUCGUCGAACUAGAGAAUUUUCAGCAGGUUGAAAGUUUACUGACUAUUGCUAGAGGCAUUGAGAGCAUAAAAAGUUCAGAGUACAGCUCACUGGAGGACUUGAGCUCUUACCUUGAAGAUCUGAAUGCUGUUAUUGACACGAGAAAUGUGGAUGCCCUUGUUGUGGAGACUUUUGGAAGAAGGAUAGCCAAGUUACUACAGGAGAAAUUUAUGCAAUUAUGCGGACAAAUAGAUGAUAUGAGCACCGAAUCUUUAGGUCCAAUAGAUGAAGAUGGCCCUUUGGAGAAUAGUGUAAGCUCAAGAACAAGCCAGCUAAAUGGGAAAUUUAAGGACCGUACCUCAAUUGAGGACUUCGAAAUUAUAAAGCCAAUCAGCCGUGGUGCAUUUGGGCGUGUAUUUCUUGCAAAGAAAAGGGUAACAGGAGACCUUUUUGCCAUCAAGGUGCUGAAGAAAGCUGAUAUGAUCCGCAAGAAUGCAGUUGAAAGCAUCUUGGCAGAGCGUGACAUCUUAAUAUCAGCUCGUAACCCAUUUGUGGUUCGAUUUUUCUACUCCUUCACAUGUAGGGAAAACCUUUAUCUUGUUAUGGAGUACUUGAAUGGAGGAGAUCUCUAUUCCCUCUUGAGAGGCUUAGGUUGUUUGGAUGAAGAUAUGGCAAGGACAUAUAUAGCAGAACUGGUUCUUGCAUUGGAGUAUCUGCAUUCUUUGAAUGUGAUUCACCGUGAUUUGAAGCCCGACAACUUGUUAAUCUCCCGUGAUGGCCAUAUAAAGUUGACUGACUUUGGGCUAUCAAAGGUUGGUCUUAUAAAUAGCACAGAUGAUUUAUCUGGUCCAGAUGUCAGCACUGCUCUAGUGGGUGACAAUCAACCAACAGAUGCAGAACAACGUGCACACAAACGACGGCAGAGGCAAAAGCAGACAGCUGUGGGCACUCCUGACUAUUUGGCCCCGGAAAUACUACUAGGGAUGAGCCAUGGUCCAACUGCGGAUUGGUGGUCGGUUGGUGUUAUUCUCUUCGAGAUUCUUGUAGGAAUUCCUCCAUUCAAUGCUGAGCAUCCACAGAUAAUAUUUGACAACAUAAUGAACCGGGAAAUACCUUGGCCACAAGUACCACAGGAACUGAGCUCCGAAGCAUAUGACUUGAUUGACAAGUUGCUAAUUGAGAACCCGGUACAAAGAUUAGGUGCGACUGGUGCUGGAGAGGUAAAGGCUCAUCCGUUCUUUAAGGGCAUCAAUUGGGAUAUGAUUGCUAGACAGCAGGCUGUGUUUAUUCCCUGUACAGACGAUGAAUAUGAUACAAGUUACUUUGCCUGCCGUCAUGCCUGGGGUGCUGCUGAUGAGCAGGUCACUACAGCCCCCAAUGAGUACGACGACAGAAGUGAGACUAGUAGCAUGAGUUGUGGCAGCAGUCCACGUAGUUGCGACUACGAAGAAGAUGGAGAUGAAUGUGGUAGCAUGGAAGAGUUCGGGCCUCCUCUGUCGGUGAAAUAUUCUUUCAGCAACUUCUCAUUCAAGAACAUUUCCCAGCUAGCAUCGAUGAAUUAUGAUCUGAUGACUAAGCAUAACGAAGAUCCUUUGCAAUCUUCAAGAUCUUGA
rnacentral:rRNA from 1 species